AGGAGUUCUUGACAGUGUUGUAAGGUGUGAAUUUGAGUAAGACUCAAAACCCGACCACGGCAGAAUAAAGAGAAUAGAUGAAGGUCGUCUUCUAUGCCUUGGCAGUAGACUCUAAAGUAUGCCAUGCUGAGUACCGCACCUGAUGUGUGCCUUGCAGCAAGUCUGUUAAGAGGUACAGAGAGUGAUCCAGGAUUGAAUCAGUGAUCAACGGUCAAAGUUAUCCUUAGUAACUAAAUGGACUAAGGAAUUUUUCUCGAUUAUGGAGGUGGUUAAAGAGUUCGUCGUAAAGGGUUACGUUGAUGCAAGCUUUCACACUAAUCUGAAUAACUAUGAGUAGUGAAACGGAUUCGUAUAGUAGAGU
rnacentral:lncRNA from 1 species